UGGAAAUCCCUUGGCUUCUUUGCCGGCGAGCGGCGGACGGGUGAGUAGUGUCUGGGAACUGCCUGAUGGAGGGGGAUAACUACUGGAAACGGUAGCUAAUACCGCAUAACGUCGCAAGACCAAAGAGGGGGACCUUCGGGCCUCUUGCCAUCAUAUGUGCCCAGAUGGGAUUAGCUAGUAGGUGGGGUAACGGCUCACCUAGGCGACGAUCCCUAGCUGGUCUGAGAGGAUGACCAGCCACACUGGAACUGACACACGGUCCAGACUCCUACGGGAGGCAGCAGUGGGGAAUAUUGCACAAUGGGCGCAAGCCUGAUGCACCCAUGCCGCGUGUAUGAAAAAGGCCUUCGGGUUGUAAAGUACUUUCAGCGGGGAGGAAGGUGUUGAGGUUAAUAACCUCAGCAAUUGACUUUACCCGCAAAAGAAGCACCGGCUAACUCCGUGCCAGCAGCCGCGGUAAUACGGAGGGUGCAAGCGUUAAUCGGAAUUACUGGGCGUAAAGCGCACGCAGGCGGUCUGUCAAGUCAGAUGUGAAAUCCCCGGGCUCAACCUGGGAACUGCAUUCGAAACUGGCAGGCUAGAGUCUUGUAGAGGGGGGUAGAAUUCCGUGUGUAGCGGUGAAAUGCGUAG
rnacentral:rRNA from 1 species